rnacentral:rRNA from 1 species
UGGGGGAUAUUGCACAAUGGGCGAAAGCCUGAUGCAGCGACGCCGCGUGGGGGAUGAAGGCCUUCGGGUUGUAAACUUCUUUUGCUCUGAACAAGGCAUGCUAAUGGGUGUGUUGAGUGUAGGGGUUGAUUAGCGCCGGCUAACUACGUGCCAGCAGCCGCGGUAAUACGUAGGGCGCGAGCGUUGUCCGGAAUUAUUGGGCGUAAAGGGCUUGUAGGUGGCUGGUUGCGUCUGUCGUGAAAGCUCAUGGCUUAACUGUGGGUUUGCGGUGGGUACGGGCUGGCUUGAGUGCAGUAGGGGAGGCUGGAAUUCCUGGUGUAGCGGUGGAAUGCGCAGAUAUCAGGAGGAAUACCGGUGGCGAAGGCGGGGCUCUGGGCUGUUACUGACACUGAGGAGCGAAAGCAUGGGGAGCGAACAGG